AUUGAACGCUGGCGGAAUGCUUUACACAUGCAAGACGAACGAUGAGACCUAGCUUGCUAGGUUGAUUAGUGGCGAACGGGUGAGUAAUGUAUCGGAACGUAUCCAAUAAAGGGGGAUAACUAACCGAAAGGUUAGCUAAUACCGCAUACGCCCUACGGGGGAAAGCCGGGGAUCUUCGGACCUUGCGUUAAUGGAGGGGCCGGUAUCUGAUUAGCUAGGUGGUGAGGUAAAGGAUCACCAAGGCGACGAUCAGUAGCUGGUCUGAGAGGACGACCAGCCACACUGGAACUGGGACACGGUCCAGACUCCUACGGGAGGCAGCAGUGGGGAAUUUUGGACAAUGGGCGAAAGCCUGAUCCAGCCAUUCCGCGUGAGUGACGAAGGCCUUCGGGUUGUAAAGCUCUUUCGCAAGGGAAGAAAACUUACUUUCUAAUAAAGAGUGAGGUUGACGGUACCUUGAUAAGAAGCACCGGCUAACUACGUGCCAGCCGCCGCAGUAA
rnacentral:rRNA from 1 species